AUGGGAGUGCUUGCAUGUGUUUACUCCUCAGAUACCGGCGUAUGGGAUAAUCUCAUCUCGGCAGUGAUUCCAUUCGAUGCGUAUACCACGAUAUGUAUUUUUGCCGUGUGUUUUACGGGCAUGUCGGCUCUGCUGGUUGGGAAUUCCCUUUACUGGCGUCUUGGUGGGUGUCUGGAUGCAGUUCUCGAGUUUGAUUUGGAGAGGUAG
rnacentral:rRNA from 1 species